CAGCAACACAGGGCUGUGCAUGUGCAUUUGCACUGUCAUAUGCCUGCACCGACACGGGGCUGCGCGUGUGCUUUUGCACUGCCACGUGCAUGCACCAACACAGGGCCACGUGGGUGUUCACACUGCUAAAUGCAUGCAGCAACAUGGGGCCGUGCAUGUGCAUUUGCACUGCCACGUGCAUGCACCGAUACGGGGCUGCGCGUGCAUUCACGCUGCUAAAUGCACACGCCGAAAAGGGGCCGUGCAUGUGCAUUUGCACUGCCAUGUGCAUGCACCAACACGGGGCUGCGUGUGUGUUCACAGUGCUAAAUGCACGCAGCAACACAGGGCUGUGCAUGUGCAUUUGCACUGCCACAUGCAUGCACUGAUACAGGGCUGCGCGUGCAUUCACGCUGCUAAAUGCACRCGCCGACAAGGGGCCAUGCGUGUGCGUUUGCACUGCCAUGUGCAUGCACCGACAUGGGGCUGUGCAUGUGCAUUUGCACACCAACACAUGCAUGCACCAACACAGGGCCGUGCGUGUGCAUUUGCACUGCCACGUGCACACACUGCCAUGGGGCCGUGCGUGUGCAUUUGCACUGCUAUGUGCACGCAACAACACGGGGCUGCGUGUGUGUUCACACUGCUAAAUGCAUGCACCAACACGGAGCUGUGCACGUGCGUUUGCACUGCCACGUGCACGCACUGCCACGGAGCUGUGCGUGUGCAUUUGCACACCGAGACAAGGCCGUGCAUGUGCGUUUGCACUGCUGCAUGCAUGCACCGACACGGGGCUGUGCAUGUGCAUUGGCACUGCUGCAYGCACACACCGACACAGGGCUGCACGUGUGCGUGUGCACUGCCGCGUGCACGCACCGMCGCGGGGACGCGCGUGCCCACCGCCGCGGGGCUGCGCGUGCGCCUUCGCCCCUUGCACACCCACACGCGGGUGCCCGGCACCCGCGGCCCCGGCGCGGGGAGGGGUGCGAGCGCGGAGGAAUCCGUCGGGGCAGCAAUUCGCUGUGCAAACAAGGGCGGGCGGAUUAGAGCGGGCGCUGGGGGCCGGCGCGGGGGGGAUCGCCGGGGAUUUACCCGCCACAAAGGGUGGGAAAAACGGCGGCGCGGGGGGCGGGGGGACACGAAUGCCAGCGCGGCGCCGUGCCCGGGGCACCUGGGACCGGGGGACGGCACCAGGCGGUGCCCCCCCCCCCCAAAAUCACCCAGCCCCGGGGCAGAAACGCCCCGCGGUGCAGCCGCCCCGGGGAAGGAGCUUGCUUUCGGCUGGGGAAACUGAGGCACGGCCCCCCCCGCCACACGUGCACCGAGCGGGUCGGUGCUCGGCACGCAUCCUGCGCCGGGGAGGAAGGGCGCCGGGGCCCUCGCACACCUGUCCCGCCGGCGGAGGGGGAAAUAACCCGUGUCGGGUUACCGGAAACGGCCGCCGGCUCGCGGCACCCCGCGGGGUCACCCCGGACGCCUGGGCUUGCCGCUCCCCCCCCUCCCUCCUCCUUUUCCCGAGCAAAACUCCCGGAGGGAGCAGGGAAAACUCCUUGCCCGGGAACGCCGGCRGGACGGGACGCGGGAGGGGGGGCAGGAUGCCUGGCCGGACGCUGGCGCUCCUCAGUUUUUCCACUCGCCGGCCCAAAAAUCCCGCCGCAUCCGACGGGCGCCCUUGGGAAGCCGGGGCUGCCGGGGAGGAAGGCGAGGAGGAGGAGGAGGAGGAGGGAGGUGGCGGCCCGCUGUCACGUCCGCCGCCGGCGCCACGUGGGCUUCGCCGGGGCCGGCUCGAGGUCCGGGCGGGCGAGCGAGCGAGCGGAAAGGGAGGAAGCGCACGCCCCGGCGCCGACACCGGAGCGGGAUGGUGGGGGGGGGGAUUAUUAUUAUUCCUAACCCCCCCUCCCCCGGGGCUAUUGUUUCCCAAGGCCACGGCGAUUUCCAGCCCCGAAAGGUGUUUCCCGCGCNNNNNNNNNNNNNNNNNNNNNNNNNNNNNNNNNNNNNNNNNNNNNNNNNNNNNNNNNNNNN
ensembl:lncRNA